rnacentral:lncRNA from 1 species
GAGAUUAUAAAUAACACUAGAGGAGGCAUCGAGUUUAAAAAUUGGGAACGCAGCUAAUGGGGAGCAAAUUCAAGUCCUGGAUAUAAAAUCGUGCUCCCAUUGGCUGAUUUGAAACUCGUCACCAAUGGGAACACGAAUACACAUCCGGGACUUGAAUUUGCCCCCUAAUAGUCGCGUUCUCUUUUUUUUACUGAAUUAAGAUUACAAUGCCUCCUCUAGUGUUAUUUAUAAUCUCUAU